rnacentral:rRNA from 1 species
GACGAACGCUGGCGGCGUGCUUAACACAUGCAAGUCGAACGAAGUGGCGUACGGGUGAGUAACGCGAAAUCAACCUGCCCUUCAGAGGGGGACAACAGUUGGAAACGACUGCUAAUACCGAAUACUGAAGGAGGGGAUUGCGUCUUAAUGGCUAGUUGGAGGGGUAACGCCCCACGAAGGCGAUGAUCAGGAGCCGGUCUGAGAGGAUGAACGGCCACAUUGGGACUGGGAGACGGCCCAGACUCCCACGGGAGGCAGCAGUGGGGAGUCUUCCUCAAUGGACGAGAGUCUGACGGAGCAACGCAGCGUGAGUGGUGACGGCCUUCGGGUGGUAAAGCUCUGUUAUUCGGGACGCGGUACCGGCAUAGAAAGCCACGGCUAACUACGUGCCAGCCGCGGCGGUAAUUC